UGUCCACAGGCUGUGGCAAUAAGUCCAUCAAUACCACUGAUGCCCCGGUUGCUCCAGACAGGCAGCCAUGGUUCAGAAGUCACCGUGGACAA
rnacentral:tRNA from 1 species